GCGGCCUAUCAGCUUGUUGGGGAGGUAACGGCUCACCAAGGCUUCGACGGGUAGCUGGUCUGAGGGGAUGAUCAGCCACACUGGGACUGAGACACGGCCCAGACUCCUACGGGAGGCAGCAGUGGGGAAUCUUGCGCAAUGGGCGAAAGCCUGACGCAGCCACGCCGCGUGCGGGAUGAAGGCCCUAGGGUUGUAAACCGCUUUUAACAGGAACGAAAAUGACGGUACCUGUAGAAUAAGGUGCGGCCAACUACGUGCCAGCAGCCGCGGUGACACGUAGGCACCAAGCGUUGUCCGGAUUUAUUGGGCGUAAAGAGCUCGUAGGCGGUUCAGUAAGACGGGUGUGAAAACUCUGGGCUUAACCCAGAGACGCCACUCGAUACUAUUGUGACUAGAGUUCGGUAGGGGAGACUGGAAUUCCU
rnacentral:rRNA from 1 species